UUCCGUCAGGAUAUAAAUGGAUUUUUGUUGCAGCAACUCACAUGUGUAAUGGAUUUAUACUAUAGUUUCACAGAUUAGAUAUUUCGCCGGAUGUAUAAAUAUGAAGCAUCAGCUUGGCGUUUCCACUCAUGGCCAAAUAUGGUCGUGAGAGGAAGCCCUCAGCCCACUUGCCGGCAGUGGGAGAAGAUGGAACGAGAUGGAUUUUGGCCGACACUCUGCAAAUGUUUUCAUCGAUCAAACAUUUGAUCUCAAUACAGUUUUCUGUUCCCAAAACUAGAAUCUGUAAUGAACCGAGUGGACUAAGUUUUGUAGACUUUACCCUUUGCAAAAGUUUUUAAAAAUCGCGUUUAGAAGGAGUGCAAAGACGAAUUGAGUUACUGCGCACGUGCACUUCACAGAGUAUGCGUUCCCUAACGAAAAUAUGCAGAUGCUGCUAGAACGCGCCAAUAGAAUCUCGCUAGCUCGUGCUUGGCUCUACCCACCUCCUUACUUGCUCUGCCCACUGUAACUCAUUUGUUCCCCUUGGAAAAGACAGGCUGUAGAAAAGAUAUGCUGUGGUAUCUCUUGGUUUAGUUAUACACAUUUUUGAUAGUUCAGUUAGGGGCGGUAAUGGCUGCCAAUCGCCGUUAAACUCCACCAAAGAAGAAGAAGAAGAAGAAGCAAACGCUCGUGUUGUUCUUCAAGGUUAUGUUAUCAUUGUAUAAUGUAUGGUUCAAUUGUAUUCGUUUUUAAAGAUGUAUAAUUUUUUGCAAGCCCCAUUACGGGAAAUAGUUACAUGUAAAUGUUCUCGACAUCUAUCAAUUCCAUGUCUAUCUGUAAACGAAAGUACCAAAUCGAUCUCAUCACCUCUACCAAGGCACUAUAUGUCUGUGUUUGAAGGAAACAUGUUCCAUCAUGAACUCCCUUUUGUAUUGGAUGACCAGUGGUGUAAAAAGUACCCAACUGUCAUAGUUGAGUAAAGAUACCUUAAUAGAAAAUGACUCAAGUAAAAGUCAUUUUCUCAAGUAAACAUUUACUUUUGAUACUGAAGUAAAAUACUACUUCAGUAAAAGUUUAAAAGGAUUUGGUUUGAAAUAUACGUAAGUAUCAAAAGUAAAAGUAUACAUCUUUUCAAAUUCCUUAUAUAAAGCAAACCAGGUGUCACCUUUUUCUUGUUUUUUUAAAUGUACGUAUAGCCAGGGGCAUGCUCCAACAUUCAGUAUUUUAUACAAACAAAGCAUGUGUUUAGUGAGUCUGCCAGAUCUGAGGCAGUAGUGAUGUUCUCUUAAUAAGUGUGUGAAUUAGACCAUUUUCCUGUCCUGCUAACCAUUCAAAAUGUAACGAGUACUUUUGGAUGUCAGGGAAAAUGUAUGGAGUAAAAAGUACAUCAUUUUCUUUAGGAAUGUAGUGAAGUAUAGAUACCUAAAAAACGACUUAAGUUGUACUUUCAAGUAUUUUUACUUAAGUACUUUACACCACUAUGGAUGACACAAGAACGACCAGAUUUUACAGCACUGCAAGAGAAGCAAGGGGUGAAAUUCAAGAUCUAGGUAAAAAUGUCAAAAUUCAAGGGAAAUGCACCUCCGUAGAGCCGGAAAAAGAGGAGGAAUUUGUUUUCCUGGACUACAUAGAGCAAGAAGAUACUCACAAGGACCAACUUCAUGGUUAGCUCCAUGUGAAUGCUGUCCCCAUGAUUUCCAAAGAAGACAAGAGGUUGCCGCCGAGGUCAGGCUCUGAGAAGUAGCAGAGGACUCUGGAGCAACAGCUGUGGUCAUUGAAAGAUGGGACCAAAGUGGCGACAGCGAGCCCUGAUUCUAUCAUCGAGUUUCGUGAUAUAGACUUCCUUCUCGAGGAAACAAGCAAAAAGACGAAAAAGAAAACUCAAGGACAGCAGAAAAUCUAUGGUACGCCAGAUAUGGAGGGUUGACACCUGUUGCAACGGAUGUGGCGCAGUCAUGCACUGCACCUGAUGUGGCAGGCUAUCUACCAAGUGAGAAGUAUAAACUUUUGCUAGAGGAGAAGGAAUUGAAAAAAGCCAUUUGUCAUCGUUGUUACUUGCUCACACACCACCAAACGGCAUUGACUGUCAAGAUGUCCAAGGAGGAACAUCUGGAUAUAGUCUGCAGGGUCAAAACAGAGAAAGCCUUGGUACUGUUCAUCGUGGAUCUCCUGGACAUCCCAUACUCCAUAGUACCAGACUUGCUAUAGCUUGUUGGAGAAAACAAACACAUAGUGGUUCUGGGUAAUAAAGUGGACUUGCUCCCUGGAGAAUCUGAAAACUACUUGCAAAGGAUAAAACGUCAGCUUUCCCAGUACUGUGCUGAUGUAGGCAUUUCCAGUGAUAAUAUCAAAGAUACCCUCCUCAUUAGAACCAAAACGGAAUAUGGCAUAGAAAAUCAAAUCUCCAGAGAUUGUGGAAGUACAAUGGAGAAGUGUAUCUAGCGGGAAUGGCCAACACGGGGAAAUCCAGAGCCUCGGAGCCACCAUAUCUCCAUGGCCUGGUAUAAUGCUGAACCUUCUGAAGUUCCCCAUCAUCAACCCCAUUCGUUACUGCUUGUUCAGGAGGUCCAAGAGGCUCCAGAGUGCCUCCAAGCAGACGGAGAGUGAUCUCUCUCCACAGGAGCUCAAGCGACUGGAACAGUUCAGCAAGCAGGGCUACCUAGUGGGUUGUAUUGGGAGGACGUUCUGGACCGUCGUAGAAUCCAAAAGAGGCCUGAUACAGUUUGAUCCUGAUAGUCUGGCCUAUGGAGAGGACAUGAUUGACAAGGAGGAGAGAGACCGUACUCUUUUCAACCCUUCUCCAGAUGUGGGCUUGACGCUCAACAAAGAAAAAAUGCCAAAGAAAGAUGCCCACUGGCUCUAUGACACCCCUGGCAUCAUGAAAGAGCAUGAUGUGAGCUACUGUUUGCUUCCGCUUGGCGCCACUGCUGGCUGUUACGCCGGGCUAAAACGACUUCAACGUGGCCAGUAUAAUUGUUGUUUCAUAGAUUACAGUGUAGCUCAUAAUGGAACCCUGUACCUUCCUAAUUGAAACAGCGUGUAUACAUGGUGUAGCUGUUUACCAUCACAAGGAGAGAACACUGCUGACUAAUUAAUACCACUCGACUUAGUUUCCCUUCUGAUGCAAGAGGGUUGGUAGAUACAAAUAGUACCUUUGCAUGUCCUCUGGGGGAACAAGGUGUGUCUAUUUCUCCUAUUACUAGGCUAUACCACAAAGUAUAAUUUGCACAAGCAGGAUGCCAUGAUACAUUUACGCACACUGCAAUAGAACAGAAUUAUCUAUGAAGUGGUCACUGCAGUAGAUUUAUGACUGGUUAAUUAUUGCAUUGUACCACUCUCAUAAGGGGUUUCUUACAAGAAAAUCCCAGACUAGUGUUGAACAAUGCCAACCAUUCAGCUCACAAUCUUCUGUUGAUUGCUAUAAACCAAGGCACAGUGCCCCCCCACCCACACUCUCUUUCUCACUCAAGUCAAAGUUUAUUUGUCACGUGCGCCGAAUACAACAGGUGUAGACCUGACGGUGAAAUGCUUACUUACAGGCUCUAACCAAUAGUGCAAAAAAGGUAUUAGGUGAACAAUAGGUAGGUAAAGAAAUAAAAC